AGGUCAUUUCAAAGAGGGCUUAUGAGACCAAAACCGGGAGCUCUUAAUGCUGUGACCAAAGAUUGAAGUUCUCCAUAGAAUAUUACGGUCACUCAAAAGUGCUAUGUUUUCCUAAGGAGAUAAGAUU
rnacentral:snoRNA from 8 species